rnacentral:rRNA from 1 species
GAUGAACGCUAGCUAUAGGCUUAACACAUGCAAGUCGAGGGGAAACGGCAUUAUGUGCUUGCACAUUUUGGACGUCGACCGGCGCACGGGUGAGUAUCGCGUAUCCAACCUGCCCUUUACUUGGGGAUACCCCGUUGAAAGACGGCCUAAUACCCGAUGUAAUUCAUUGAUGGCAUCAGAUAUGAAUAAAAGAUUUAUCGGUAAAGGAUGGGGAUGCGUCUGAUUAGCUGGUUGGUGAGGUAACGGCUCACCGAGGCGACGAUCAGUAGGGGUUCUGAGAGGAAGGUCCCCGACAUUGGAACUGCGACACGGUCCAGACUCCUACGGGAGGCAGCAGUGAGGAAUAUUGGUCAAGGGGAGGAAGACUGAACCAGCCAAGUAGGGUGCAGGAAGACGGCCCUAGGGGUUGUAAGCUGCUUUUAUACGAGAAUAAUUUGAUGAACGUGUGCGUUAUUGCAUGUAUCGUAUGAAUAAGGACCGGCUAAUUCCGUG